rnacentral:rRNA from 1 species
UACGUAGGGUGCAAGCGUUGUCCGGAAUUAUUGGGCGUAAAGAGCUCGUAGGCGGUCUGUUGCGUCGGCUGUGAAAACCCGAGGCUCAACCUCGGGCCUGCAGCCGAUACGGGCAGACUAGAGUUCGGCAGGGGAGACUGGAAUUCCUGGUGUAGCGGUGAAAUGCGCAGAUGUCAGGAGGAACACCGGUGGCGAAGGCGGGUCUCUGGGCCGAUACUGACGCUGAGGAGCGAAAGCGUGGGGAGCGAACAGG